rnacentral:rRNA from 1 species
AUGGCGUUCCUUAAGUCUUUGGUGGGCAUACUAAAAGGUGAGGGCACUCCUGGUCAAACAAGUGGAAUGAACGCAUGCUCUUUUCUCACAUUGAAAGACCAUAAACUGCUGAUGGGCACCUCAAGUUUCUCCCCCAUUUCAGCUGGCUUUGGAAGUCUCUUGCAAGCUCAAGUGCUCAGUUGUAAGGAACGCAGCCAAAGGAACACCGACACCCGUAAGAAACUGAAGACAAAAGACAUAAUUGGAUCAAAAUCUUAUUUGCAACUAAGUUCUGAGAAGAGAAACUUGGAAACUGGAGAAGAGUCAGAUUGUAUUGCUCUGUGGGAACUCACCCACACGAAGAAUGAAACAUGGUCUAACACAGAGUCCCAGUAUGUUUACGUACCCAUGCGUACUCGUCAACCUCGCAAUCCCAUGAGUUGA